rnacentral:tRNA from 2 species
UCCGUGGUAGCUCAAUGGCGGAGCAUUCGGCUGUUAACCGAAGGGUUGGAGGUUCGAGUCCUCUCCACGGAGCCA